GGUUUAAAUAAAAAUCGAUAUGUUGCUUUUCUUGACAUUUCGGAGUUGGGUCAUCUUAAUCUUACUUUUAAGGGACCUAAAAUUGAUGUUCUUGCGCAUCUUGACAUGUAUAAUUUUUUUUAUCUUGUCACCGGAUGCCAGGUAUUAUUAGGUGUGACUAUGCUAAGUGGUUUCAUGCCUAUAGGAAUCUUGA
rnacentral:misc_RNA from 1 species